rnacentral:lncRNA from 1 species
AGCCCAUUACCACGUUAGGUACUCUACGCCGGUGCUGUUUGCUAUUACUAUCGUUUUCCUUUUGCCCUUGAAUGAGUACUAAAAUAACUGAUGCAGCUGCUUUUUUUUUGUUUCUAUAUGCAGGAAUUGGCAAGAGAUGAAGAGCCGGAUUGCUCAUCGCAACCAGACUUCAAUUAUCCUUGUUGGAGUGAUAUUUGAGAUGUUCUUUGUUGUUUUGGGGACAAUCGUUAUUGGCGGUCCUUUCAUGUUUGACUAAGGAGAAGAUUGAUCGGCCCAUGUGUAGUUCAUCUGUUGAAUCAACAAUCUUUAUUAGCAUCUUACCAGUUUAAUGUACUUUCUAAUAUAUAUAAGUUCUGUCUAGUUUAAGUUCAUGCUCAUGCUGGAAUACUUAUCUGAAGCAGCAGAGCAGUACCAUUUCUAAGAAACUGCUUGUCAAAAUUUCCAACCUGUUGUUGAACAUUCCUUGUUAAUUUUCGAUGCAAGUGAACAUGGGAGCAUUAAUGUUAAGGUCUAGAAUGAUUGGUCUGCUUCUUGCUUUUUAUUCUUUUUUUUUUCUUGUCGCCUGUUUUGUAUUCCUUUUACCCUUGCUUCAACUUAACUGUUUCUACUGAGCACGCUGUGAAUGUGUCAUGCUUCAGGUGAGAUUGUAUCAUCUUGUCAUGCUGAUCCCUUGACCAUUCUCAUUCAUUUGAUGACUGAUCCGGCCAAUGAUCUGAGCACAGCUUGGAGUCUGUCUUGUGCCUAUGGUUCAUGUAUAAGUCUGUCUUGACCCCGCUAAUGAGUUUCUACUCUAAAAAAGCAUAUUAGUAGUAGAAGUAGCGUGGAUCAAUAUUAUAUUUUGGUCCACACAUGCGCACCAAGUUUUCUUUGUGAUUUAGUCAUAUACAUGUAUAAUAUAAUUAUCUUGAGAUGACUACCUACUACGUACUCCCAUAAAGAAAGUCAUUUAAAAUAAUGACACAGUUUUAAAAGCCUAACUUUGACCUUUUAUUUUUAUAAAAAUAUUUAUCAAAAAGUGGUAUGUAUGUUUUUUGAAAGUAUUUUUCAAGACAAAUUUAUUUAUAUGGUUUUCAAAUUUCUAAACUCAACAACUUAAAAAUUAAUUAUGAUUUAUAUUUUCAAUGUUUGACUUAAACCUUAUCCAAAACGAUUUUUUAUAAGUAUAUAGAGAGUACACAAUUACACCUGCAUAUACGCACAAUAAUAUCGCGCAUACCUUCUUGUGUAUAUGUAUGAGCAUCAACGGUGGCUAUAUAUGAUCAUGUGCAUGUGUGUGCAAAAUUGAGCAUGCAAGCAAAGGCAUAUUCCCUCCGUCCCAGAGUGAUGUUUUUUAUUUUUUAAGCAUCGUGUUUGAGCAUCUAUCUUAUUUUUUUACAAAUUAUAAAAUAAAUAAAUUAUUAUUAAAGUAUUUUUAAUGAUAAAAUAAGUUAUAACAAAAUAUAUAAUAUUUAUAAAAAAAUUUGAAUAAAAUGGCGA